rnacentral:rRNA from 1 species
UACGUAGGGGGCUAGCGUUGCUCGGAAUCACUGGGCGUAAAGCGCACGUAGGCGGAUUGCUAAGUCAGGUGUGAAAUCCUGGAGCUCAACUCCAGAACUGCCUUUGAUACUGGCGACCUUGAGUCCGGGAGAGGUGAGUGGAACUGCGAGUGUAGAGGUGAAAUUCGUAGAUAUUCGCAAGAACACCAGUGGCGAAGGCGGCUCACUGGCCCGGUACUGACGCUGAGGUGCGAAAGCGUGGGGAGCAAACAGG